rnacentral:rRNA from 1 species
AUGAGUAUCAUAUGCUGGAACUGUCGAGGCUUGGGGUCGGACUCGACAGUUGGUGAGCUUCGCUGGCUUGUGAAGCUCUACCGACCCUCCCUCCUCUUUCUUUCAAAGACAAAGAUGAGGGAUACAAGAGUUAAGAAUUUCAUGUGGUCCUUGGGUUUUUCUGGGUGUUUUGCUGUCAGCAGUGAGGGUCUCAGUGGCGGCCUCGCUCUUUUCUGGUCGUCUGCUGCGGUAGUCACUGUCAAGGCAGCCAAUAAGCGUUGUAUUGAUGCUCAUGUGCAACUAGAAGAAGGUUUACCUUGGCGUGCUACGUUUGUCUAUGGGGAGCCAAGGAGAGAGGAUAGAUCUCACUUUUGGGAACUUCUACGACGGUUGCAACCUAACUGGAUGGGUCCUUGGAUUUGCUGUGGUGAUUUUAAUGAGGUGCUUACACAAGAUGAACAUUGUGGUCCUAGGGACAGAUCUGAUGCUCAGAUUGCCGCGUUCCCAGAUUGCAUGUUUGACUGUGGCCUGGCUGAUUUGGGUUUCUCGGGUCCGAAGUUUACUUGGUGCAAUAAGCAAGAUCACAUCAGUCAUGUUAAGUGUCAUUUAGACCGUGCCAUGGCUAACAGUGUUUUUUCCUGUUUAUUUGAAGCUUGUUUCAUGGAGAAUGUUAUCGCUACCACAUCUGAUCACUAUCCUAUUCUUGUUUACCUGGAUCGCGGUUCUCAACAACGUCGUACGAUUCCGGUUCAAUAG